GAUGAACGCUAGCUACAGGCUUAACACAUGCAAGUCGAGGGACCGGCGCACGGGUGAGUAACACGUAUCCCACCUGCCCUUUACUCGGGGAUAGCCUUUCGAAAGAAAGAUUAAUACCCGAUAUAAAGGAUUGGUAUGCGUUCCAUUAGGUUGUUGGUGAGGUAACGGUACACCAAGCCUUGGAUGGAUAGGGGUUCUGAGAGGAAGGUCACCGACAGUGGAACUGAGCCAAGACCCAGACGCGUACGGGAGGCAGCAGGUAGGAAUAUAGGGAAGUAGGCGCUAGCCUGAACCAGCCAAGUAGCGUGAAGGAUGAAGGGGUAUGGGUCGUAAACUUCUUUUAUAUAAGAAUAGGUAUUAGAAGAGUAAGGAACGGCUAACUCCGUGCCAGCAGCCGCGGUAAUAC
rnacentral:rRNA from 1 species